ACAUACGACCAUAGGGUGUGGAAAACAGGGCUUCCCGUCCGCUCAGCCGUACUUAAGCCACACGCCGGUGAGUUAGUAGUUGGGUGGGUGACCACCAGCGAAUCCUCACUGUUGUAUGU
rnacentral:rRNA from 15 species